UGGGAGCAAAGGGGAAAACCCCCUCCCACCUAUACACGAGCGUUACAAACCGGCAGGAAUGCCCAAAGGCAGGCAGCAGCAAUGUCGUCCUCCAACGACGCUCCCCUGAGCCCUCGAUCCCAGCUGGCGCUCAGCUGCUUCGAGGAGCUCCUCGACUGCGCGGUGGCGGACGUCGCGUCGGAGUGCCACCGCAUCGCGCGCCUCGGCCUGGACCGCAGCGUCGAUGCCGAGGAGGAGGAGCUCCGCGUCUGGGCCGCGCGCGCGGCCGCCGGGGGCGACCACCACCACCCCGGCGGCGGCGGGCCCGCAGAGGAGGGCGGGGGCGGGGGCGGGAGCAAGGGCGGGGUCGAUGUGUUCGGCCAGACCCACCCCGCCAUCGCCGCCGACGUCAUCGAGUGCAUGAACUGCGGCCGCCCCGUCGUCGCCGGCCGCUUCGCCCCGCACCUCGAGAAGUGCAUGGGCAAGGGGCGGAAAGCUCGAACGAAAAUUACAAGAAGCAGUACAGCUGGGCGGACCAGAAGCAGCAACGGCAUCGCUGCUUCAUCCUACUCUCCAUACUCUAAUGCAGCCAACACUAACAGGGCGAGCGUCCCUAAUGGCGUGACUGAUGGUGGCUGCGGCACAGGUGGAGAUCACAGCAGCCAUGUGCUGUAGGAGCCCUGACUCAAGACUGCUUGAGCCGCCACCAUGGGCUGCAUGAAGCAGGUUCUGUUGAUAAAUGUGGUCUAUGAACCGCGAGCACCUCUCCGGUAAUCGCUAGUCAGUGAUUGUGAGAAGAUGGAAUCUCCCUUGGAUUAGGCUCGGGAUACCAAGUGCUCGAGAAGAUCACCUGAUGUCUUGGCUUUUAGGAGAGCUGCUUUGUCGCAAAACACUGGGUACCUGCCUGCCGUCCUACUGCUGCUUUUGGGAAACAACAAAGCAGAGGCGGUCUCAAACAAGACCUCUGUAUGAGCUAAACCUUUUUUUCCCUGGCAACGUCGGUUUGCCUUUGUUGCAGCGCAGCACAAGACGGGAUGUCACUGCUACCCAGACAAACUAGGUUUCGUUUGGGAGGGUUUUUACCAGCUUCAGCUUCUCCUGUUUUCACAAAUCGAGCACUAUAGCGUGAAAUCAUUUUGUAAGCUGAGGUAAAAAUGAACUAGAAACCUGAUUAAGUCAUAUUUUUUGAUUUCACUGGUUUUGACUUCACUGGUGAAGUUAUUUUAGGAGAAGUCCUUCCAAAUAGCCCCUAGAGGAGGCCCCUAGGUUUCUAGGAUUCUCAAUAGCAUCUGUUUUGUGGUUUUUCUCUA